CAGGAAGUACCUCCCUCUCUCUCGGGGAAGCUAGGAGCACUGCAGGAGAGUCCUGGUGAUUUCCAACAUGUUAGUCAACUGUCCAAGAAGAACAUUCUGAGUGACUUCCUUCCUCAAAACAUAUUUAUUUGUUUGUUUCUGUGCAUCUAAGUAUAUGUGUGGGUGUACCUGGACAGCGCAUGUGUGGAGUUGGAGGACCCUUUUUCAGAGGUUAGUUCUCGCCUUCCUCUGUGUGGAUUGCGUGGAUGGAACUCAGGUGUUUAUGACAACAAUGGAAAGCGGACUAAUAUAGUUAACAAGUAUACCAGGAGUGACCAGAUGGAUGUGAGACCAGCGAAUUAUUAUAAAUUAGAGACCCCUGACGUUAAUGAAUCGGAGGAUUCACUGCCAAUAGUUCCUUAGAUCUUGGAGCCGGACCUCAUCCUGUAUCACAUCCUAUUCUCUGUUUCUGCCUGCGAUGUAAGACCCUGUUUGCAGUCUGCUUUACAGUCAGAUCCUUCUGCCUUUCCGUGUAUUCUUUCCCAUUGUGGCCUCUUUUCUACCCUCCCCCCAUCUUGACUACGUGUCCCUCAACACCUUGAAUAGUCACAUUUGCCUUUCUCUUCCUUGUCUUCCUUUGUCAACAUCACCACAACAAAUCAACUGCAAAAUCUC